rnacentral:tRNA from 1 species
GCCCUGGUGGUGUAGCCUGGAUCAAUAUUUUAAGGCUAAAAUGUUGUAGGAACUAUCAUGAAGCCCUGUCGCGGCUUCGACCCGGGUUCAAAUCCCGGCCAGGGCG